GAUGAAGAACGUAGCGAAAUGCGAUAAGUAAUGUGAAUUGCAGAAUUCAGUGAAUCAUCGAAUCUUUGAACGCACAUUGCGCCCGCCAGUAUUCUGGCGGGCAUGCCUGUUCGAGCGUCAUUACAACCCUCAGGCCCCCGGGCCUGGCGUUGGGGAUCGGCGGAGCCCCCCGUGGGCACACGCCGUCCCCCAAAUGCAGUGGCGGUCCCGCCGCAGCUUCCAUCGCGUAGUAGCUAACACCUCGCAACUGGAGAGCGGCGCGGCCAUGCCGUAAAACACCCAACUUCUGAAUGUUGACCUCGAAUCAGGUAGGAAUACCCGCUGAACUUAAGCAUAUCAAUAAGCGGAGGA
rnacentral:misc_RNA from 1 species